rnacentral:rRNA from 1 species
UGGGGAAUUUUGGACAAUGGGGGCAACCCUGAUCCAGCCAUUCCGCGUGAGUGAAGAAGGCCUUCGGGUUGUAAAGCUCUUUUGUCGGGGACGAAACGGUUACGAUUAAUACUCGUGACAACUGACGGUACCCGAAGAAUAAGCACCGGCUAACUACGUGCCAGCAGCCGCGGUAAUACGUAGGGUGCGAGCGUUAAUCGGAAUUACUGGGCGUAAAGCGUGCGCAGGCGGUUUUAUAAGCCAGAUGUGAAAUCCCCGGGCUCAACCUGGGAAUGGCAUUUGGGACUGUAAGGCUAGAGUAUGGCAGAGGAGACUAGAAUUUCUGGUGUAGCAGUGAAAUGCGUAGAUAUCAGAAGGAAUACCGAUGGCGAAGGCAGGUCUCUGG